GACGAACGCUGGCGGCGUGCCUAAUACAUGCAAGUUGAGCGCUGAAGGUUGGUACUUGUACCUACUGGAUGAGCAGCGAACGGGUGAGUAACGCGUGGGUAAUCUGCCUUUGAGCGGGGGACAACAUUUGGAAACGAAUGCUAAUACCGCAUAAAAACUUUAAACACAAGUUUUAAGUUUGAAAGAUGCAAUUGCAUCACUCAAAGAUGAUCCCGCGUUGUAUUAGCUAGUUGGUGAGGUAAAGGCUCACCAAGGCGAUGAUACAUAGCCGACCUGAGAGGGUGAUCGGCCAAAUUGGGAAUGAGACACGGCCCAAACUCCUACGGGAGGGAGCAGUAGGGAAUCUUCGGCAAAGGACGAAAGGCUGACCGAGCAACGCCGCGUGAGUGAAGAAGGGUUUCGGAUCGUAAAACUCUGUUGGUAGAGAAGAACGUUGGUGGGAGUGGAAAGCUCAUCAAGUGACGGUAACUACCCAGAAAGGGACGGCUAACUACGUG
rnacentral:rRNA from 1 species